rnacentral:rRNA from 1 species
GGGCGCAAGNCCUGAUGCAGCGACGCCGCGUGAGGGAUGGAGGCCUUCGGGUUGUAAACCUCUUUUAUCGGGGAGCAAGCGAGAGUGAGUUUACCCGUUGAAUAAGCACCGGCUAACUACGUGCCAGCAGCCGCGGUAAUACGUAGGGUGCAAGCGUUAUCCGGAAUUAUUGGGCGUAAAGGGCUCGUAGGCGGUUCGUCGCGUCCGGUGUGAAAGUCCAUCGCUUAACGGUGGAUCCGCGCCGGGUACGGGCGGGCUUGAGUGCGGUAGGGGAGACUGGAAUUCCCGGUGUAACGGUGGAAUGUGUAGAUAUCGGGAAGAACACC